UGGGCACUAGAUACAGUGAACUAUAGAAGAUUAUAAUUUACUCAUAAAGUGCCCAAAAUCAAAUGUUCUUCGAUGACUGUCACUAAUAUAGUUUAAUGUGAAAGACAGAUACGGAACAAACAUUU